GACGAACGCUGGCGGCGUGCUUAACACAUGCAAGUCGAACGGAAAGGCCCUGCUUGCGGGGUACUCGAGUGGCGAACGGGUGAGUAACACGUGGGUGAUCUGCCCUGCACUUCGGGAUAAGCCUGGGAAACUGGGUCUAAUACCGGAUAGGAGCCAUUUUUAGUGUGAUGGUUGGAAAGUUUUUUCGGUGUAGGAUGAGCUCGCGGCCUAUCAGCUUGUUGGUGGGGUAAUGGCCUACCAAGGCGGCGACGGGUAGCCGGCCUGAGAGGGUGGACGGCCACAUUGGGACUGAGAUACGGCCCAGACGCCUACGGGGGGCAGCAGUGGGGAAUAUUGCACAAUGGGCGCAAGCCUGAUGCAGCGACGCCGCGUGGGGGAUGACGGCCUUCGGGUUGUAAACUCCUUUCGCUAGGGACGAAGCUUUUUGUGACGGUACCUAGAUAAGAAGCACCGGCUAACUACGUG
rnacentral:rRNA from 1 species